CGGCGGCCGUAACUAUAACGGUCCUAAGGUAGCGAAAUUCCUUGUCGGGUAAGUUCCGACCUGCACGAAUGGCGUAAUGAUGGCCAGGCUGUCUCCACCCGAGACUCAGUGAAAUUGAACUCGCUGUGAAGAUGCAGUGUACCCGCGGCAAGACGGAAAGACCCCGUGAACCUUUACUAUAGCUUGACACUGAACAUUGAGCCUUGAUGUGUAGGAUAGGUGGGAGGCUUUGAAGCGUGGACGCCAGUCUGCGUGGAGCCAACCUUGAAAUACCACCCUUUAAUGUUUGAUGUUCUAACGUUGGCCCCUGACCGGGGUUGCGGACAGUGUCUGGUGGGUAGUUUGACUGGGGCGGUCUCCUCCCAAAGCGUAACGGAGGAGCACGAAGGUUAGCUAAUCCUGGUCGGACAUCAGGAGGUUAGUGCAAUGGCAUAAGCUAGCUUGACUGCGAGCGUGACGGCGCGAGCAGGUGCGAAAGCAGGUCAUAGUGAUCCGGUGGUUCUGAAUGGAAGGGCCAUCGCUCAACGGAUAAAAGGUACUCCGGGGAUAACAGGCUGAUACCGCCCAAGAGUUCAUAUCGACGGCGGUGUUUGGCACCUCGAUGUCGGCUCAUCACAUCCUGGGGCUGAAGUAGGUCCCAAGGGUAUGGCUGUUCGCCAUUUAAAGUGGUACGCGAGCUGGGUUUAGAACGUCGUGAGACAGUUCGGUCCCUAUCUGCCGUGGGCGCUGGAGAAUUGAGGGGGGCUGCUCCUAGUACGAGAGGACCGGAGUGGACGCAUCACUGGUGUUCGGGUUGUCAUGCCAAUGGCACUGCCCGGUAGCUAAAUGCGGAAGAGAUAAGUGCUGAAAGCAUCUAAGCACGAAACUUGCCCCGAGAUGAGUUCUCCCUGAGACUUUAAGUCUCCUGAAGGAACGUUGAAGACGACGACGUUGAUAGGCCGGGUGUGUAAGCGCAGCGAUGCGUUGAGCUAACCGGUACUAAUGAACCGUGAGGCUUAACCUUACAACGCCGAAG
rnacentral:rRNA from 1 species